rnacentral:rRNA from 1 species
CCUACGGGUGGCAGCAGUGGGGAAUAUUGCACAAUGGGCGAAACCCUGAUGCAGCAACGCCGCGUGAGCGAUGAAGGCCUUCGGGUCGUAAAGCUCUGUCCUCAAGGAAGAUAAUGACGGUACUUGAGGAGGAAGCCCCGGCUAAGUACGUGCCAGCAGCCGCGGUAAUACGUGGGGGGCUAGCGUUAUCCGGAAUUACUGGGCGUAAAGGGUGCGUAGGUGGUGUCUUAAGUCAGAGGUGAAAGGCUAGGGCUCAACCGUAGUAAGCCUUUGAAACUGGGGAACUUGAGUGCAGGAGAGGAGAGUGGAAUUCCUAGUGUAGCGGUGAAAUGCGUAGAUAUUAGGAGGAACACCAGUGGCGAAGGCGGCCCUCUGGACUGUAACUGACACUGAGGCACGAAAGCGUGGGGAGCAAACAGGAUUAGAUACCCCUGUAGUC